ensembl:lncRNA
GAAACAUUUCCUCACUUAUCCCAGUGACUUCUUCAGUCUCAGCUGACUGCUAGUUUCCCCAAAUCUUUAAACAGUGCAUUUGCAUAAUGACUGAAACUAGCACCACUGACUAACAGUGGGCUGUGGGGUCAGUUUCUUGAUUACUAAUAUGCAAUCACAAUAUUCUAAGAUUCUUUAACUGGAUGAUUAAGAAUGCACAGGACAAUGUGAUUUUCUGUUUUGUUUUUUUGUGCAUUGGUUUUCUUAUGAUCAGUUUACGAGUGACGGAAACCGCUCACCAAACAGUGGGGGAAUGCACAGUUUCCCCUCAUGUCCACUGAUUGUAUCACACUUAAUGUGCAGAAACCUCUAUACUGUAUAUCCUUUUACAGACAUGUCCAUUCAAAAUGUGUUGGGACAUGUUUUUUGGUGUUAUGUCCUAAAAUUUUCCAUGUAAUCUUUCUAAACUUAAAAUGUAGUUUUCAGUGCCUAAUAAAACUUACUGGUUCUUAAUGAUAUGAUAUGUGUUUGUUUCCUGGAAGCAUUAAUCAAUCUGGAUGAAACUGAAUUUAAUAAACUGCCUAGGUCAUCAGGAUUAUCAAUACCUAAACAGCUUUUGGGAAUUACACCCAAAUCCUUACAAAGUAUAUUAUAUGUAGUACUGCUGUCAAAACGAAUGGCAUGAUUACAUAUACCCUGCAUGUAGGAUUCUUGGAAUUAUGUGUCGGUGUUGGUGUCUGUAAUUGAUUACUUUGUGUUAUACAAUAAACCUGUUGUCAUGGUCCGCGGCCCGGCGUCUGAGGUGCUGAUGGGAUGCCCACUCCCGUGGGCGUGGCCGCUGACUCCACACCUGCAUCCCAUCCCAGGCGAUCACCAGGUGGACCAUUUAAUCCUGCCCAGCCUGCUGCUCCACGCCAGUCCGUAAUCGUCCUUCAGCGAUCACUGCUCGGCGUGUUUUGAGUCACCAGCCUGUCCACCUGCCUGUCCAGAAUUUGGAUCACGAUCAACCCCAGCUGCCUCGCCCUUUCUGGAGCUUCUCCCCACGGACCCUCACCCCUCCCUCCGGUUCCCUUGGCCCCGCUAUCAUCCCUCCCACGGUCCCGCUCUCGGCGUUUCCUGCGCGAUUCUUCUCCCGGUCCCUCGGUUUCUCUGGUUCCGUGCGUUUUCUCCCUUCUACUCUCCCGGGACACUCUCAGUUAUAAUAAAGUUUAUUUUUUCUCUCGUACCGCUGUGUGUGUGUUCUGCUCCUGGGUCCAGCUUGUGUGUUGAACUUCGGUUCUUGACACCUGUAGCUUGUAAUAAAGAACAGCAAUGAAUAUAUGCAUUUAUUAUUGAUUUGUUUGGUUAUGAACAGGAGUUUUUGUUACAGUAAUAUAAAGAAUAUAUAUAAGAAUAUAAAAAAAAACAUGAUAAAUUAAUAUACAUGUCUGUGUGUUCAUACAAG